AAAAUAAAUUGAUUGUUCAAAAAGAAAACAAAGCAGUAAGUUACCGAGUACAUAAUUCAUUUAUUUUCUGUGUUUUUUGCAAGAAAGUCACUUAAAAGCGAUUAAGGGAGCAAUUCAAGGAGAAGUGCAAAGGUGAGGGGUGGAGUAGAGGAUUGGAAGGGGACCAGCUCCGAGAGAGGAGAGAGAGAACGGCAGCGACCCACGGGAGGGGAGAGGCGAGGAGGAAAAAUGUCCUCACAGGGUGAACUAAAUUCACUGACAAUCAGUAUUAAUUGCCUAACCGGUAUUUUUAAGGACACUUAUGUCUAUACUGAAAGAGUGCUGGUGGAUAAAGCUGUAAUAAUCUCUCUAAGCAAGUUCUGUUAGCCCUGUUAGCUUAGCCAGCUCGGCUGGGUAUGUUUAGCAUCUUGUAUUAGCCUACUCUGCGCUAGCCGUGAACUUUUCGCUGCAGCGCCGCUCCGAGAGACUGUUCCCUGGACUGACUGACUCGUGCUUUCGCCGCCUUCACUGGACACCAGAACCGCUAACACUGCUACCCAGUCCCCCCGUGGCUCAAAGUUCCUCUGGCUCCGAGGGAAAACGCUCCGUGCUGCAGGACCACGCGCUCAGCUCUCGCUCAUAUUCACAGACUCUGAGGGUAAAACCCUCCAGCUCCUGGAACACCACCAGCACCACCUAAACCAGCUCCAGCACCUAAAAACAUCAACCAGUACUAGUAUGUAUUGCAGAUGUAUUGCCAGAGAAUAAAACCUGACAAAAACAAGAUUCGCAUCAGAUCUAUGUGUGUUAUCUUACCUCCUGCUCCAGGGGUAAGGUACUCCAGCUCUUGGAACACCACCAGCACCACCUAAACCAGCUCCUGGUACACCACCUAAACCAGCUCCUGCACCUAAAAACAUCAAUCAUUAAUUAUUACUAAGUGAAUGAAUACUGAUGUUUUAUCACAGCUAAGCUUUAAUAAGUUAUUAAUGAUAAAAUAUUAACACUCACCGUAUUUAGCUGCCUUGGCCUGAGCUGGUGUUAGACCACCGAGUCCUGGAGAAGAAAGUGUUUAUUAUUAGUAUUUAACAUUUAUGCAAAAAAUAAAUAAAUACAUAAAUAAAUACAAUUGUAAAUUUGAUGUAUUAACAUUACAUUUAAGGUUAUUUCAUUAUUAAAAUUAUAUAUAUUUUUCGUUGUAA